CUUCAACGAGCCCAGCCAGAGCGGCCGUUCGCCCGACCGCUGCUGCCCGUAGGUGGCCAGCAGGGCCUGCGCCUC
rnacentral:antisense_RNA from 1 species